GUAACCUGCCUUAUAGUGGGGGAUAGCCUUUCGAAAGGAAGAUUAAUACCGCAUAAGAUUGUAGUAUCGCAUGAUAUAGCAAUUAAAGGAGCAAUCCGCUAUAAGAUGGACCCGCGUCGCAUUAGCUAGUUGGUGAGGUAAUGGCUCACCAAGGCGACGAUGCGUAGCCGACCUGAGAGGGUGAUCGGCCACAUUGGGACUGAGACACGGCCCAGACUCCUACGGGAGGCAGCAUG
rnacentral:rRNA from 1 species